rnacentral:rRNA from 1 species
UUGCUUUGGGGGAUUAGUGGCGAACGGGUGAGUAACACGUGAGCAACCUGCCCUUCACUCUGGGAUAAGCGCUGGAAACGGCGUCUAAUACUGGAUAUGAGACACAGCCGCAUGGUUAGUGUUUGGAAAGAUUUUUCGGUGGGGGAUGGGCUCGCGGCCUAUCAGCUUGUUGGUGAGGUAAUGGCUCACCAAGGCGUCGACGGGUAGCCGGCCUGAGAGGGUGACCGGCCACACUGGGACUGAGACACGGCCCAGACUCCUACGGGAGGCAGCAGUGGGGAAUAUUGCACAAUGGGCGGAAGCCUGAUGCAGCAACGCCGCGUGAGGGAUGACGGCCUUCGGGUUGUAAACCUCUUUUAGCAGGGAAGAAGCGUGAGUGACGGUACCUGCAGAAAAAGCGCCGGCUAACUACGUGCCAGCAGCCGCGGUAAUACGUAGGGCGCAAGCGUUAUCCGGAAUUAUUGGGCGUAAAGAGCUCGUAGGCGGUUUGUCGCGUCUGCUGUGAAAUCCCGAGGCUCAACCUCGGGUCUGCAGUGGGUACGGGCAGACUAGAGUGCGGUAGGGGAGAUUGGAAUUCCUGGUGUAGCGGUGGAAUGCGCAGAUAUCAGGAGGAACACCGAUGGCGAAGGCAGAUCUCUGGGCCGUAACUGACGCUGAGGAGCGAAAGGGUGGGGAGCAAACAGGCUUAGAUACCCUGGUAGUCCACCCCGUAAACGUUGGGAACUAGUUGUGGGGUCCUUUCCACGGAUUCCGUGACGCAGCUAACGCAUUAAGUUCCCCGCCUGGGGAGUACGGCCGCAAGGCUAAAACUCAAAGGAAUUGACGGGGACCCGCACAAGCGGCGGAGCAUGCGGAUUAAUUCGAUGCAACGCGAAGAACCUUACCAAGGCUUGACAUACACGAGAACGGGCCAGAAAUGGUCAACUCUUUGGACACUCGUGAACAGGUGGUGCAUGGUUGUCGUCACCUCGUGUCGU